AGAAUGUUAGUAGAAAAUGAAGUAUUUUUUGCAUUUAGUAUUAGAAAAGUUAGCACACGCUAUAAUGUAGGAUUCCAUUUUAAUUCACGGUGUUAGUGAGUUGGUAACAUUUUUUUAUUUCCAAAAGUAAAGUUGGAGUGGAUGUUUAUUGAUCAUGGAUUUGGCCACCACUCAUAGCUCAUAACUCAUAACUCUCACCAAACGCUCGGCUCUCCGGCCCACUGCCAAAGGCAAGAAGUAAGGAACAAAGCAUUCGCGAGCUUAUGAGAAAGCCUCCGGGAUCAGCUUCCACCAAAGAGGAGCAGCAGAUUAACAACAUGGGGAAGAGAGGAAGGGUAAUCACGCGGACGCUAAGAGCAGGUAG